rnacentral:rRNA from 1 species
AGAGUUUGAUCCUGGCUCAGAAUGAACGUUGGCGGCGUGGAUUAGGCAUGCAAGUCGAACGCCGCCCAAGGCGGAUCAGUGGCGCAAGGGUGAGUAAGGCGACGGCAACCAACCCCAUGGUUGGGCAUAGCCGCGGGAAACUGCGGGUAAUUCCCAGCGAUGUUCGCUUGGGGCAUCCCAAGCGAACCAAAGCUCUGGCGCCGUGGGACGGGCCGUCGUGGUAUUAGGUUGUUGGCGGGGUAAUGGCCCACCAAGCCUCUGAUGCCUACCGGGCGUGCGAGCGUGGCCCGGCACACUGGGACUGAGACACUGCCCAGACUCCUACGGGAGGCUGCAGUCGAGAAUCUUCGGCAAUGGGCGCAAGCCUGACCGAGCGACGCCGCGUGGAGGAUGAAGGCCUUCGGGUUGUAAACUCCUGUCGAGGGGGAGGAAGGCGCAAGCUUGACCGAUCCCUGGAGGAAGCACGGGCUAAGUUCGUGCCAGCAGCCGCGGUAAGACGAACCGUGCGAACGUUAUUCGGAAUCACUGGGCUUAAAGCGCGUGUAGGCGGAUGGGGACGUCGGUUGCUGAAAGCCCCCGGCUCAACCGGGGAACGGGCGCCGAAACGCCCCGUCUGGAGGGACGUAGGGGGACCUGGAACUUCCGGUGGAGCGGUGAAAUGCGUUGAGAUCGGAAGGAACGCCCGUGGCGAAAGCGAGGUCCUGGACGUUUACUGACGCUGAGACGCGAAAGCUAGGGGAGCGAACGGGAUUAGAUACCCCAGUAGUCC